rnacentral:rRNA from 1 species
CAGAGAAUUNGCUGGUGCUUANCCUGCAGGUACCGUCAACACUCAAGAUAUUAGCUUGAGCUUUUUCUUCCCAGACUAAAGUGCUUUACAACCCGAAGGSCUUCUUCACACACGCGGCAUUGCUGGRUCAGGCUUUCGCCCAUUGUCCAAUAUUCCCCACUGCUGCCUCCCGUAAGAGUCCGGACCGUGUCUCAAUUCCGGUGUGACUGAUCRUCCUCUCAGACCAGUUACNGAUCGUCGCCUUGGUGGGCCAUUACCCCACCAACNAGCUAAUCNGACAUAGGCUNCUCNNAAAGCACAAGGGCUUGCGGUCCCCUGCUUUGCUCUUGCGAGAUCAUGCGGUAUUAAUCCGGGUUUCCCCGGGUUAUCCCCCACUCNGAGGGNAAAUUCCUAUGUNUUCCUCACCCGUCCGNCANUAGAGUUAUUGGCAACNCCCCGUUCNNUGCUGUAUGAUAUUGNGNGNGNU